GCGGCAUCGUAGGCAGGAGGAGCUAUCGUCGGCGGAGCGAGCAUAUUCAAUAAGCGGAGGAGCAUAUCAAUAAGCGGAGGAGCAUAUCAAUAAGCGGAGGAUCUUAUCAAUCAGCGGAGGAGCUUAUUAAUAAGCGGAGGAUCAUUGCAAUAAGCAGAGGAUCAAAACUUUCAGCAACGGAUCUCUUGGUUCUGGCAUCGAUGAAGAACGCAGCAAAAUGCGAUAAGUAAUGUGAAUUGCAGAAUUCAGUGAAUCAUCGAAUCUUUGAACGCACAUUGCGCCCGCCAGUAUUCUGGCGGGCAUGCCUGUCUGAGCGUCAUUUCAACCCUCAGGACCCGUUCGCGGGACCUGGCGUUGGGGAUCAGCCUGCCCCUGGCGGCGGCUGGCCCUGAAAUCCAGUGGCGGUUCCCUCGCGAACUCCUCCGUGCAGUAAUUAAACCUCUCGCGGCAGGAUAGCGGUUGAACCACGCCGUUAAACCCCCCACUUCUCAAGGUUGACCUCAGAUCAGGUAGGAAUACCCGCUGAACUUAAGCAUAUCAAUAAGCGGAGGAAAUUU
rnacentral:rRNA from 1 species